rnacentral:rRNA from 1 species
UACGGGGGGGGCGAGCGUUGUUCGGAAUUACUGGGCGUAAAGGGCGCGUAGGCGGCUUACCAAGUCAGGCGUGAAAUUCCCGGGCUCAACCUGGGGGCUGCGCUUGAUACUGGUGAGCUUGAAUGCGGGAGAGGAUAGUGGAAUUCCCAGUGUAGAGGUGAAAUUCGUAGAUAUUGGGAAGAACACCGGUGGCGAAGGCGGCUAUCUGGCCCGUAAUUGACGCUGAGGUGCGAAAGCGUGGGGAGCAAACAGG